GAUGAACGCUAGCGGGAGGCCUAACACAUGCAAGCCGAGCGGGAUUUGAGACUAGCUUGCUAGUCUUAAUGAGAGCGGCGUACGGGUGCGGAACACGUGUGCAACCUGCCUUUAUCUGGGAGAUAGCCUUGCGAAAGGAAGAUGAAUAUCCCAUAAUAUAAUGAUUGGCAUCAAUUAUUAUUGAAAGAUCCGGCGGAUAGAGAUGGGCACGCGCAAGAUUAGAUAGUUGGUGAGGUAACGGCUCACCAAGUCGAUGAGCUUUAGGGGGCCUGAGAGGGUGAUACCCCACACUGGUACUGAGACACGGACCAGACUCCUACGGGAGGCAGCAGUGAGGAAUAUUGGACAAUGGGUGAAAGCCUGAUCCAGCCAUCCCGCGUGAAGGAUUAAGGACCUAUGGUUUGUAAACUUCUUUUCUACAGGGAUAAACCUACUCUCGUGAGAGUAGCUGAAGGUACUGUAGGAAUAAGCACCGGCUAACUCCGUGCCAGCCGCCGCGGUAAAAC
rnacentral:rRNA from 1 species